UACGGAGGGGGCUAGCGUUGUUCGGAAUUACUGGGCGUAAAGCGCACGUAGGCGGCUUUGUAAGUUAGAGGUGAAAGCCCGGAGCUCAACUCCGGAAUUGCCUUUAAGACUGCAUCGCUUGAAUCAUGGAGAGGUGAGUGGAAUUCCGAGUGUAGAGGUGAAAUUCGUAGAUAUUCGGAAGAACACCAGUGGCGAAGGCGACUCACUGGACAUGUAUUGACGCUGAGGUGCGAAAGCGUGGGGAGCAACAGG
rnacentral:rRNA from 1 species